AGAGUUUGAUCCUGGCUCAGAACGAACGCUGGCGGCAGGCCUAACACAUGCAAGUCGAGCGCGCCUUUCGGGUGAGCGGCGGACGGGUUAGUAACGCGUGGGAACGUGCCCUUUCUCUACGGAAUAGCCUCUGGAAACGGAGAGUAAUACCGUAUACGCCCUUUGGGGGAAAGAUUUAUCGGAGAAGGAUCGGCCCGCGUUAGAUUAGGUAGUUGGUGGGGUAAUGGCCUACCAAGCCUACGAUCUAUAGCUGGUUUUAGAGGAUGAUCAGCAACACUGGGACUGAGACACGGCCCAGACUCCUACGGGAGGCAGCAGUGGGGAAUCUUAGACAAUGGGGGCAACCCUGAUCUAGCCAUGCCGCGUGAGUGAUGAAGGCCUUAGGGUCGUAAAGCUCUUUCGCCUGUGAUGAUAAUGACAGUAGCAGGUAAAGAAACCCCGGCUAACUCCGUGCCAGCAGCCGCGGUAAUACGGAGGGGGUUAGCGUUGUUCGGAAUUACUGGGCGUAAAGCGCGCGUAGGCGGAUUAGAAAGUUGGGGGUGAAAUCCCGGGGCUCAACCUCGGAACUGCCUCCAAAACUGCUAGUCUAGAGUUCGAGAGAGGUGAGUGGAAUUCCGAGUGUAGAGGUGAAAUUCGUAGAUAUUCGGAGGAACACCAGUGGCGAAGGCGGCUCACUGGCUCGAUACUGACGCUGAGGUGCGAAAGUGUGGGGAGCAAACAGGAUUAGAUACCCUGGUAGUCCACACCGUAAACGAUGAAUGCCAGUCGUCGGGUAGUAUACUAUUCGGUGACACACCUAACGGAUUAAGCAUUCCGCCUGGGGAGUACGGUCGCAAGAUUAAAACUCAAAGGAAUUGACGG
rnacentral:rRNA from 1 species